AGGUUAAAAAACACAGAGUUGGCACUAGAGGGAAAAGGUUGGAAAGGAUAGUGAUUCUGCUAAUGUAUGACUCAAAGUGUUGGGUGACAAAAACAUCAUCAACUUUUCGACUCAUUCGGGCAACGCAAGCUCAACCACAGUAAUCACUACCUUUUCAUUGGACAUAUUUCUUGUUGAUAAUCUUUGUACGACAUCUAUUUGAAGUAAAAAUUAACAACCAGACUUUUCUUAUCACCAGGUGGUAGCUACCAAGGAAUGCGUCGCGUAGUAGAGGCGGAAGGAGGCAGGAAUGCAGUAGAGGCCGCUAUAGAAGCCGGCGGAUUAUGAAGCUCACAUUUGCGAUGUUUUUGGAAUUUCGUCCGUCCGUCCGUGACACAACUGCAGUCACUCGCCACGGGAUUAUGCCAAGAUCCGAGAGUUUCAGUCUACAUUUAUGAGAAGUUUCUGGAUGUCCUUUCAAGAAAAAGGACGAGGACUAUACGGUCAACAAGAUCCCUGUUUACUAAAACCCGUAGGCUGCUACCCUUUGAUUCCAUUUUUACUUACUUACAACUUACUUCUUGAUUUGAGGGUAAUCCUUCGCUACUGAUCAUGGACUCCAUUGGUGAAACUGAAAACUGAAGAGAG